UACAUGUCACACUCCAUUUUCCAAAAAAAAAAUCAAACUGCCCAAUUAAAACACACAGUUCGAAGAAUUUCACCAAAAUUGUUGGUUUUGAGCAACUGUCACAUUGUGAUAUUUGUGCAAACACACAGCCAUACGUUUGUAUCUCGUCGAUACUGAAGCAUUUUCCACUACCUAAGUGCACACAAGUAUCUAUGUAUAUAUGUAGCCAUGUGUUUCCUCAAUUGACGAAAACGACAGACGACAAACUACAUCAUGGAAAUGAUAAUGCCCACGGGAAGAAGCAGAGCAGCAAAAACCAAGUGUCGGAAAAAAGAGCUGAUCCACCCAAGACUUUCCACUUACCCGAUAAAUGGGUUGGUUUUCAGAAGUUUUGUAAUUUAAAAACUCCUUAUCAAGACUAAUUCGGAGUCUUUUUAAUCGAUGCAAGUUUAUUGGAAUAGCCGAGUCUUAUAGAACAUGUAAAGAUACGAUCGAUUACUGCCCCAAACUAUAGCCCAGAGUCUCACAUUUCCCCGCCAACAAUGUUUGCCUGUUACAAAUGACCAAAAACCGAAAAGUGAUGAACAAACCGAAAGUGAUAUGCAAAUAUUGACACUGGCAUCAAAUCGGCGAUCGGCAUCUUCAGGCUCUGUAUACCUGGUAAAUAGCUAUGGUAAUAA